GCACCUUUUGAAUCUAAAUAACAUGGCAUCAAAAACAAAAAUUCUAAAGAAUCACAUAGCGGAUUUUGCACAGGCAGCGACGUUUUAAAUUAUUUUUUUUUUAA